rnacentral:rRNA from 1 species
CAGUCGCCACGGGAAUACGAAGGGGGCUAGCGUUGUUCGGAUUUACUGGGCGUAAAGCGCACGUAGGCGGACUUUUAAGUCAGGGGUGGAAUCCCGGGGCUCAACCCCGGAACUGCCUUUGAUACUGGAAGUCUUGAGUAUGGUAGAGGUGAGUGGAAUUCCGAGUGUAGAGGUGAAAUUCGUAGAUAUUCGGAGGAACACCAGUGGCGAAGGCGGCUCACUGGACCAUUACUGACGCUGAGGUGCGAAAGCGUGGGGAGCAAACAGGAUUAGAUACCCCUGUAGUCCCUGUCUCUUAUAC